CUGUUGAUUGUAUUCAAUGUUUCAAUUUCAUAACCUUGAGGCAUUUCUGUACUUACAUUUUAGUUUGCUUAAGUAGGCUGUCAUGGCAUUAGAGCCACAUCAGUCUAAUGGCCUUCUUUUUAAUUAACUUGACAGGACACAUGGAGAUUCAGGUGCCAAAACACCAGAGAUAUCUAGCAGGUUGCCGGAUAUAUGAAUCUCAUGUUAGGUUUUUUUCUCUUUAAUGAUUUUGUAUUUUUGGUUUUGUUUCUGAUACAUCUACAGCCAAUAGGUUUCUCAUCAUUGGUGGCAACAACAAUCAGGAAUUUGACUUUAUAUUCUGACCAUUUGGUGGUCUCACUAAGUUAAUUGGUAGUUAUAGAGAUAUAUUCUCUUUUGGAUAAGAGAUGACAGAGAAUCUAGUUGGUCCUUUUUGUUUGUUUGCCUUUUUUGUCUAUUUAUGAGUUCAAAUCAGUCAAGAUUUUCAUGGCUCCUGGAAAGAAGAAUGACUCUAUAUCUGAUCUGAGAGAGAGACAGAGCAUGAGUGGGUGAGGGGCAGAGAGAAAGGAAGACACAGAAUCCGAAGCAGGCUCCAGGCUCUGAGCUGUCAGCACUGAGCCCAACGCGGGGCUCCAACUCACAGACUUCAAGAUCGUGACCUGAGCCGAAGUCGGACGCUCAACUGACUGAGCCACCCAGACACCCCAAAGCUGUAUACUUUCUUUGUGUCUAUGCAUCUCUGUGUCUUUAUGGCUAUAACCAAGAAAGGCCCUCACAUGUUGUGGAGUGUGAAAUGUUUACUAAGUUUGG